AUGAAAUGUCGUAGCAAUUCGUAUAAUUUGGCACAAAAUUCAAAUAAUAAAACUUCAUGGCUUCAAAAUUUUAAAAAUGAAAACAAGGACCACAAAAGUGAAUUUGCCAAGUUUAAAAUGCACAAAUUUACUUUUUAUUAAUGUAUGUAAUUCGUAAUGUACAGGAGUUACAAGCAAACCAAAUAGUAGGGGAGAUUCUACCAAUGACUAAUAUUUGAGAGAAUUCAAGUUAAAUGGUCCGUAUGCAGUUAAAUUACUGGAGUCAGUUUAACUGUAGCCUGGUUAAUUGGAAUGUAGCCUUUCAAUUACGUGGGGUGCUCAAUUUUUGAAUAAUCAUCACCGUCCCCUACACACUAAUAUUGGAAUCGAUAAUAAAAUCUAUAAUAAAUCAAUUUGAAGUACAAUUCCAAAACUAUCGAAAUGACUUCUAUUAUAUAACAAAAUAAAUAAAAGCUAAUCAUAAAACAAAUGUUUAUACACUUUGAGAAGAAAAUAUCAACAUCUUAUCUUUUGAUAACAAAUAGAAAUAAUGUCUUGACUGCAACUGAUCUGUCCAGAAUGUUAGUACGUUUUAGAAAUCCUAUAAAAAGGGUGCUAAAGAUAUAAAGAUAUCAGAUUAAAUAUUUGCAAGGUCUAUUCAUAAUGAUUUCGAACUGCAUCCCAUUUCGCACAGACCCCACAUAAGUACUUAUCAGAUCAUGGAAUCCAUCGUCUUGAAGAACUUCCAGUUAAUAAUGAGUUAAACGCGAUAUUUGCAUACAAAUUGGUGUAUGCAGUUACAACAUCUUCGUUGCUAACAACCUUCUUCAAUGGCAAGGAUAUUUGCUUUAACAAGUUGAAUAAGAAGUAAGACAGCAAAAAUCUGAACCGCACUUGAAGACAAAACGCGAAAGACUAUUCAUGGACCGACACAUUAGUGUACAUUCGAUAUUUACGGAUAUACUAUUGUAUGUGUGAGAAUGUAAAUGAUUUUUAUUGCAAUUUGAGACAAUUAUUUCGAAAUAUGAAG